GACGAACGCUGGCGGCGUGCCUAAUACAUGCAAGUUGAGCGGAAGUUGGAGAGCUUGCUCUUCAACUUUAGCGGCGGACGGGUGAGUAACACGUGGGCAACCUGCCCUGCAGAUCGGGAUAACUCCGGGAAACCGGUGCUAAUACCGAAUAGUUUUCGCCACCUCCUGGUGGCGUACGGAAAGACGGUUUCGGCUGUCACUGCAGGAUGGGCCCGCGGCGCAUUAGCUAGUUGGUGGGGUAACGGCCCACCAAGGCAACGAUGCGUAGCCGACCGGAGAGGGUGAUCGGCCACACUGGGACUGAGACACGGCCCAGACUCCUACGGGAGGCAGCAGUAGGGAAUCUUCCGCAAUGGACGAAAGUCUGACGGAGCAACGCCGCGAGAGUGACGAAGGUUUUCGGAUCGUAAAACUCUGUUGUGAGGGAAGAACAAGUACCAAUUAACUACUGGUACCUUGACGGUACCUCACCAGAAAGCCACGGCUAACUACGUGCCAGCCGCCGCCGUAA
rnacentral:rRNA from 1 species